UUUUUUUUUUUUUUUUUUUUUAGUAUCAGGACUGGGGGAUGCUACUGACAGCAAGUGAAUAUGCUAAAGAUGCUGAUAAACAUACUACAAUGCACGUGAUGUUCCCCCACAAAAUACACACAACAAAGAAGCCUCCAGUCCAAAUGUGAAUUGUGAUGUGUUUAAGAAACUUCAUCUCAGUCUAAAGUGAAACUAUGUAUUUGUCCAGAUAAUUUUACUUUCAUUUUGGUAAAGUUUAAGAAAUCUCCAAAACUUUUCCUUUUCUAGAUUGUAAUGUUAACAUGCUAUACUCAUUUGCCUUAAUUAUUUUUAUGCAUUUCAGACAUGCAUUUCAAAUGUUAUCAAAUGGAAGUGUGCUCCUUGCAUUAACCUGACUGAUGUAUUUACAUUAUAUGCAAUUGCCCCUUAGCAAGCUCAAAUUACUGAGAGCGCCUGGUGUUUCUAGAGAUAGAAUGUAUUUUUUGGUGAGAUUUUGCAAGAUGACUAUCUUUCUACAACAUGAUUAAGUGCAGUGGAAAUGAUUAUACGGAGUCAGAACAGAUUGAAUACACUGCCUUUUUUGCUGCAAGGAGUAUUGCUAACACUCUGAUACCAAAGUGAAUGGAACACUAGCAAUCUCUUUAAGAACACAAGUACUUUAAUACAUUAAACUUGCAUUAAAUUCAUGGGAUAAAGAAAAACACAUAUUUGGAAUGAGCCAAAUGAAAAAUGCUUUUAACUAGAAAAAUUUUAAAUAAUUUUAGAUAUUAAAAUGUACAUUAUAAUGGACUUUAAGAAAACUCAGUGUAUACUAGCAGGAAAAAUUUAUGCAAUGUAGAAAUUGAGAGAUUUGGGUAAUUUUUCUUUUUCUUUUCUUUUUUUUUUUUUUUUUGGCCACACCCAUGACAUGUGGAAGUUCCCAGGCCAGAGAUCAAACCUGUGCCACAGCAGUAACAAUGCCAGGUCCUUAACCCACUGGGCUACAAGGGCACUCCUUAACUUUUCUAUGUUUGAAACCAAAGAGGAUUCUAUCUUAGAUAAUGAUUUAAGCAAUAUGAUCAGUAUCCUCAGUAGAUUGGUUCCAAGAUCUCAACAGAUAUCAAAACCAGUAAUGCUUGAGUCCUUGAUAAAAUGGUGUAGUAUUUGCAUAUAACCAACCUACUGUACAUCCUACCAGAUAUUUUAAAUAAUUUCUAGAUUACUUAUUACUUACAAUAUCUAGUAUAAUGCAAAUGCCAUGUAAAUAGUUGUAAAUACUAUGUCAAUGCUCUAAAUGUAAAUAGUUGAAGCAAAUUUAAGUUUUGCUUUUUGGAACUUUAUACAAAUUGUUUUAUUUCCCCUCAAAUAUUUUUGAUUCACAGUUGGUUGAGUCCAUGGGGCCAACUCUAAUGGCACACAAAGCAAAGAGCUUACUGGUUACCAAAUCCAAUAUGAAGAACCAUUUUUUAAAAAAGAGACAAGAUUUUGGCAAAUCUCAUUAGUUGAGUUAUUCUAAGUCCAAAUAAAACAAAUACUAACAAAUAUAGACAUUCCUCAACUUUAAAGGUAAGCAAGAAAAUAGUGAAUAGUGGAUGAGUAGGAAAAAUGUAUAAUGUUCCAAUCAAGGUUAUUGAUGAGAAAAGUGUAAAAAAAUGUACUCACUUUACUUUGAAGUAGAUAUGAUACCUAGCAAUUAAUUCAUAAAAAUGGUCAGUAAAUGCUUAAAAAAUUGGCUUCUGAUUAUGAAAACAUAUGCCUGAGAAGAGAUCAAGUUAAACUUAGCUUUAGCUGUUUAUUAUUCCAGUAACUCAUUAUUAAAUUUAAAAUUUCACAUAGGAUUUCAGGUUCUCUUUGUUUGACAGAAGAAUGUCUGGCAAUUCAAUGCAUUAGCUUCACUGCAACACACUAACAGAUUUCUUUCUUUUGGGAGGAAAUACUCCAAAGAAUACAACGGAAGGUGCAACAUGCAGAAUUAAAGAGAAAGACAAAAAUCAGAAAAGCCUGAAUUUUACAACAUGGUUAUAUACAUCAACUUUCAGGACUACCCUCAUCUACUUCCUGCAAUGAAACAUGAUUAUGUGAAGAUGUGAGGUCUGAGGCUGUGGCAGCUAUGUUGUGACCAUGAGAGAAAGAACAAGAAAAUCAAAGCAAACUCUGGAAUCAAGUGUCUUGAGGCUUUUUGUUCUAAAUAAUAGAUGCCCUUAUAUUUUAUGUCAGUACAGGUCAAAUGUUCUGUUUCUUAUUGUUAGAAGCUUACUAAAUGAAACAGGAACACUCAAAUAUAUGCUUAUCAAGUAUAAAUAGUCUUAUUCCUACAUUAUGAAGCAAUAGUUGGUAUUGUCCCAAUAUGCUUAAAAAAUCUCAAUCCUUCUCUCUCUCUUGCACACACCACACACACAAUAAAAAACAAACUUCUUCCUAGAUAUAUUUUCCUUCCCCGUUUCCUUUGGUAUUUUCCCAAGGUUCUUCUGAAAAUAUAGAACUACAACUCCUUUGAUUCUUUUAUGUUUUUAUUUACAUUCUUUUAAAAAAAAUAUUCAUUGAAUUUUUUUUUUUUUUUGGCUGCACCUGAAGCAUGUAGAAGUUCCCAGGCUAGGGAUCCAACCACGCCACAGCAGUAACAAUGCUGGAUCCUUAAGAGCUAGGCCACCAGGGACUCCUUUAUUUACAUUCUUAAUCUGCGUAUCAGUAUUUCACAAAACUGAAAAAUUUUUUUUUUUUAGGAUUCAACAAAUUGCAUCUACUAUAUUAACCACAAAACAAUUUUCUAUUACAAUAAUCAAUCCUACUAGCAGAUAUUGUAUUUCAUCUGAAAUAAUUUAGAGGAAAGAAAGUCAUGAUUCUAAUGCUUACUCUAUAGAAUACCUGAAUUUAAACUGUUAGAGACGCAUCAAGAUUCAGCAGCUAGAUAACAGAUGGGAAAGUUGAGGUCAGAAAAUCUGUGCUUCUUUUACUAUAUCGUUAUUUAACCCUAGAAAAUUAAUUUGCUCAGUACGUUAGGAGUCAAUGACAAAUGCACACACACAAGUAUAAUAAUAAUACUAUAUCGUUAUUUAACCCUAGAAAAUUAAUUUGCUCAGUACGUUAGGAGUCAAUGACAAAUGCACACACACAAGUAUAAAUUUUUAGACUGAAAAUUUCUUCUCUCGGCCCCUCUGCACCCAUAUUCUGUGUUUUCUGCUUGCUGUACUACAUUUGCUAAAAUGAUGUCAAUGAUAAUAAAAAGAAUGUUUUAUUAUUGGCCUACUUGAUGAGCUUUGUACUAGAACUACUAAUAUGGAGCCAUGACACUCAAACUUCUUUCUUUCCUGCCAUUUUUUUUCUAAUUCUUUUGAGCUGUUCAUAUAUUUGAGUCUUCAUACUCCAUUGUAAACUGUAUACCAGUCAUGAGUGACAUUGCCACUUUUCAAUUCCCAAUUCAGCUGGUUCUCUAAGUUAGAACUUCUGAAAAUAAACAAGACUUUUCUAAUGAAUAAUAUAUUAAGAAUAAAAAAGAUAGUUACAAUUGGAAAGAGUAUUUAGAAAUUGAGAGUAAUGGAAUCUAGGUUGCUUUUCUCAUUGUUUACUUUCAAAGAUCAGAUUUAUUCCAUUUAGAUCAUGAAUCAGAGUUAGUGGAAUCUUUAGAUAUGCUACUAUUUCAUUUUUUUUCCCAGUCUACUCAGCAUUAUAAUUAUCCAUUUUCCUUCAUUUAUAUUCCUAUUUCAAUCAUGCAUUGGCUGACUCUAUAUUAUCUCCUUCAAGCACAGAAGUUUUAUAAUCAAGUAAAUUACCAGCAUGUUUCUGGUUCUUCUUUCAGGCCUCUUCAGGUCAUGAAAAUCCCUAUGGUCAGCUACCUCUAAGCUGCUAAAAGAAAACAAUCACUGUGCAUAUUUGACCUCCAUAAACCAACAUCUAUGGCUGGAACAUAUGUCUCUUUUACAUUCCAGAAGACUUUCCCUUUUCAGUUUGGGAAGGCUUGAUAUACUUAGUUUUGCAUAACGGUCCAUCUGUAGCAAUUUUACAUCCCUGCAGGUUUCCAAACUGCUCUGAAAGAUAAAGAUGUCACUGAAACACAUAUAAACCUAUGUGGGACCUUAAUGAGUUCAGAAGAUGAUGGCAUCAUUAUAACAGCAAGGAUUUAAAAAAGCAGCAUGUCGUAAAUUAAGAAUGUAAAUUCAAAAGGUGACUGUUGUAGAUGGGAGAAGCAUAAAGGGGACUCUUUCCGGAUCCUAUCAUUUUCUCUGCAACUGAAUUACAAGGGCGGCCCGUAGCUAACACAAGCAAGAAAUUUCAGUGAAAAUGUACGGUGUUUGUCUUCUUUAGCAAAUGAAAUUUAAGUCUUAAAACCUUAUUACUUAAAAGAAUGUAAGUGUUUGCUGUUUGUUAAUUCUCUGGAACAAAUAAAACACUAAAAUUCAAUUCGUUUAGUAAACCUAUUUGAAAUUUGGCAUUAAUCACUCAAGGCUGUUAUUUGUUUUAAGUAAAAGGUCUUAUAUUUUUUCUGUGUGGUAAAAAGUACAAGAAAUACUAAGUUUUAAAUUGGAUAAUCCAAUUAAAACUGAAAAUCCAGGGUUGUUUUUAUCAACGCUAAUAAUCUCAGCAAUAUAAGAACAUGAAGAGGGAGAUAGACCCUUGCGUGAUAAAGAUACUUUGAUUCUAUGCAACUCUUUUGACUAUGUUUCACAAAACUCCUAUUUCACAGAAAUGGCCAAAAAAUAAAAUCAAAAAGGAACAA
rnacentral:lncRNA from 1 species